AUGCUUGCUUCAGCAGCACAUACACUAAAAUUGGAAUGAUACAGAGAAGAUUAGCAUGGCCCCUGUGCAAGGAUGACAUGCAAAUUCACGCAGUGUUCCAUAUUUUU
rnacentral:snRNA from 1 species